ensembl:lncRNA
GUACUUUGCUUUCCUUUGUAUGUAUUUCUUGUGUGUGGCAGCAUCACUGAUGGCUAGCUCUGUCUGGCAAGUAAUUCAAAACUACUGUUCAUGUACAAAGGAAAGGUAGACAAUUUACCAUACUCUGUCAUUACAGGGAGGAAUAGAAGAACAAAGAAACCGGGUAAAUACCUACAUACUGGCUCAUGUGUUGUGAAACAAACAGAACUGUAUUGUUCUAUCACAAACAGAACUGUAUUCAGCCAAAUAUUUUACUCCCUUUUGUAAUAAUCCAUAAGUAGGUAGUUUUUCUACAUAUGUAAUCUAUAUUUUUAGACAUAUAUUCAAUCAAUAUUUAUAGCCUGUAAAUUUGUAGAUCUGAAAGAUUUUAUAUAUUCACCAACAAACAUCUAUUUGUUAUUAUUUUUAAAGCCCUUAGAAAUUAAAAUUUACUAAUAUCCUGUUGGUUGAUUUCAUUCCAUCAAAUUAGGAUUUCAACACAGUUUAAAUCAUAUUGAUGAUUCAUAUCUUGUCAGGUCUUAUAAUUCCUGUGACAUGAGAGCACAGCUAAUAAAAAUAUGAAGCAAUUACUUUUAUUGAAAUCAUAGCUUUAUUAUGAUUAGUAGUAGAAGUAAAUUAUCUCUACAGACUGGCCUCACUCUAGUGUCUCUUGGGCUGUUGGGAGGUUUCAUAUAGAAACGGAAAGAUUCGUUUGCUCUUUCUUCUGCCAAGGGAGGAAAAAAAAAUGAAGGCGUAGAAUAAAGUCUAGGGCUGUUAAAGUAAUGUUGGCAUUAUUUCUCUAUCACGUGUGAGCCUGGCUGCCUGCUUCCUGAGGUAGGGCAUCCAGGAGGAGACUGUAUCAGAGCCUGUUUUCACAAGUGCAUUUGGAGAUCUGUCUUAUUGAUUAGCAGGGGGAAGGGGUGGGGGUCGGAGUGCGAGGGAAGGGGAGGACCAACUGACGAGUGGCUCACUGAAGCACAGGACAUUUUCUUCCUGAAAGAUGUCAAACAACUGAGAAACAGCCACAGAGGAAGUAGAAAAAUGGAAAAAUAAGGAGACCCUGGAAGAAAGCACGGCAUUUCUUAUGAAAGUCUUGAGGCUUUUUUCCCCCCUUUUCUCUCCUUUUCCUUUUUCUCCCCCCACCCUUCCAUCAUCUGACCUGCAAGGGCUAGAGUGACAGCGUCAUGCAAAUGCUGCAGUCCAGCAGGUCUGGGAGAGGGUGGCUGCUAGACUGUGAGUUAAUGUUAAUGAUGAGCGCGGUGAAAAUACCAGCCGCUGCCACCCCCUGCACACAGAAGCGCUCUGAGUCAGCAUCAGAUGCUUCGCCUCGCCUCUGCCGGGUGUCUGGUGCUGUGUGCGCGCGCGUGCUCGCUAGGCAUCCGUGUCUAGCCUAGGGGAGGGGUGGCGUGUGAGUGCGUGGAGGGUAAAAGCCAGUCAGUCAGUGAGAAGCAAAGAUCAACCACUUCAGAAGAACCAGAUUCCACUUCUAUGACCAGGACUUUUAUGUUAUGGCUGGUCCGAUUGUUUUACCCUGCGUUCUAUGCUACUAAACCUUGGAUCAUUCCUAAAGUACAAAUUCUGUUCUUGAACCACAAACAAGCUAAAAGAUCGGAGGAAAUUCAGUGAAUAUGCAGGAUUGGGAUUGUGUGUUUUCAAAAGUGUUGAGAUUUAUAAUGCAAUCAUUCAAGAAAUAGAAUCAUUUUUUUAUGUUGUUGCCAGCAUUUUAAGUUAGCUGUUUAUUAAGUGACAUUCAUCAAAUAACUACAGAUUAUGCAUGGAAAUAUUUGCUGUCUGAAUAGUUUGGAGAUUUAACGAGAAAAUCAAGCUUCAGAGGAUUCUUUGGAUCAAUAUCAUUCUGUUUAGAAGUUCUAAACACAUCAGUAUUCCAGUGAAGCUACAAAAGACUUGUAGAGGUGUCUGAGGAUUUGUGAGCAUCAAGUGAAUGUUCUAUGGAAUCAUCUUUCCUUGCCUUUGAAUUACCUUUCCCUAGGCCAUGAGUCAACAUCCAUAUUUUAUUCUUCCAAAUUGGGAUUGCAAGUUGUAAAGAGAGUGGAAGCUUAGACUCAGUGGACAUCUUUGUUGCCAUUGUGGAAAUAUCCUACUUGAGAAUGAAAGACAUGGAAUACACCAAUUUGUAACUGGAAAGAAGCCAUUUAUUUAAAAAGUUGUUCAUUUUUCCUCUCUCUUCCAAGUUCUUUCUGCCCUCUCUGACUCUCCCAUUCCAUGCCACUUCCUUUUUUCCUCUUUCCCUCUUUCUCCACUGUGUUGAUUUCAUUCUCAGGUAGGCUCUUGGCAUUUGGUGGUAAAGUGGAAGGUCUCUGGGAGCUCCAGAAUUAUGUAUCAUUGUAACAUCUUGGAAUUAUAGAAAAAAAAAGAGAAAACAAGAUUCUCUUUACCCACGUAUCAAUUUCAGGGAUAAGAAAGGCUCUGAUUGCCUGUUUUGGCCACAUGCCUAUUGGUGGAUCCAUUUCUGUCCCCAAAUUAAUAUUUCUCUGAUUGAACAUCCACUGUAGAGAAAGUAGGCAAGGAAAUUGACAUAGUAAAGCCCUGAAAAAUGAAUGAGGGUCUGACAAUGGCAGAGAUUGAAAGAAAUUUAAAGCAGGCCAAAACAUGUAAACAGGACUCUUGAAACAACCACUACCAACUUCUAAACUGUUCGGCAUGAUGCUAUCUUAUAGACUUUAGUCACAUAUUUUUGUAUUUGAAUUGACCUGGUAGGCUUGGUCAUACCUAUCAACAUGUACCCCAUGGAUUAUUCGGCCAAAUGUAUUCUGUAUAGCAUGGAAAUUGUAAAAUAUUUACUGCAUCAACUUUGACUCUCAUGGUGAUUAAUUACAGUUUAGUGAUAUCAUCUAUUAUCAUUUACUUUGUUGGAUACAUCAAAAAAGUAAGCAUUUAGCCUCAUUUAGGAAUUGGAAAUUUUAUAAGUUACUAAGAAUUCUUAGAAAUAGGAGUUCAGUUAAGAAGAGAUAGUGAUUUUAUUUUGUUAUCUAAUGUGUCUAUCCUUAGCCACCAUGAUUUGUUCAUUCUGUUAGAGCAAAUUUAUAUACUUACACCUUUUAACUUUGGUAUUGGAGAGAUUUCUAUUGCUAAUUAUUGGAAAUUCUUCGUUCAUGAAUUGAUUUCUAACCUUCACUGUGAGAUAUAUAUAUAUAUAUAUAUAUAUAUAUAUAUAUAUAUAUAUGGUUGGUAGAUUCUUAUACUUUAUGCUUUACUUUUUAGCAACAUUGUUUCUCAUAAUAUAACCCUGGAAGCUUUUAACAUUUUACUAUCAAUAACUGUUUUUUAGAGAUCUUCCUCUGAGAAAAAGAUUAAUUUGCUAUGAGUAAUGAUUCUAAUAUAAAACAUUUGUUUUUUAUGAUGCAAAUGAGAAAAACAAUAAAUGUAACUUAGAGUUUGAAAAUUUAUUUUAACAUUCACAAUUAUUCUUACUAAUUAAUCAAAUCACAAAAUUAUGCUGUAGUUUCUAGUUUAUUAAAAUAAGUUGUCAUAUUUGGAACAUAUUUUUAUUGUCCUCUUAUGAAUAUGUGUUUCUAAAAAGUUGAAAUAUAGAUUUCCACAAAUGUUUGUAAUUUAUUCUGUGGCAGGAUGAUACCUAUUUCCCCAUACAAUGCUUGUUUAUUUCCCACAGAGUCAAUCUUCUAGAUUGUAUUUUAUCAUUCUUUUAUCACGAUGGAGAAAAAAAGACCCAGGUCUUCUUUAAGCCUUGCUGAUUGGAUAAGGAAAAGGAUGGCUGUCAUCAACAGCCUUUCCAGACACUAUACUGUGGCUCCAGACAGUCAGCUGGUGCUAUCACUUUGUCUCAACUAUAAAUCACAAUUUCCUAAUGGCCAAGGUUGACACGCUGACAUUUUCAAGAAGAGUAAAAGACCUGAUUUGAAUGGAAAUCAAUUUCAUUUCACAAAUCUUGUGUUACUACUUCAAGUCUCUUCUUGUGUCUUCUUGAGAUUUGAGGUUUUCAUGAUCAUCAUAGAAUUAUUUGAAUUUUAUAUUGUGACUUUUUUUUAGCUAGAAAACUAGUUUAUUAUUUCUAUAUUCAUUCUUAAUAUAAAAAUUAACUUGUAAAUUUUAUAUUAGAAAAUAUCAUUAAUAAUCCAGAUUUUACUCUAACUAGGGUACACUGAUAGUUUUCAAAAUGAUAGUAGUAGUACUUACUUUGUUUUAAAAAUGUUUGUGACAUGUUCUGGGAUUUAAAGAUAUAAGCUGUGUAAACACAGAAUUAGGCUUUGAUUAUCUAAUAAUAAAUAAUAUCAAAUAUUGAGUGAUUUUGAACUUCAAUUAAGCAGGUCUCAAACCUAAAAUUCUAUGAAGAAUAUUUGUACUUUUAUGUUCUUUCAUAUUAAAAGAAAGUUUUAAGUAUUAAGUUUUAAAUAUUCUACAGUCAGUGAUGAAUAACAAGCACUUAAUUGUGUUAGGUAGUUUCAGACGUUAAACUGACACAGCUUUUAAUCACUCAAUCCAAGUGAGGUAGAAAUAACUUCAUACUUUAUUAGUGUAAAGUUCUUUUUAGGAGCUUGGCACUGAAUUUUGUGUAAAAGUUAGUGCAUUUGUUAGACAAUUGUUAUCUGGGUGCCUACUGAAGUAUAAGCAAAGUUUGUGAAGGACCUGCAGUGUUCACAGAGGUUUUCCUCUUGAUGGUGGAAUUUCACAAUGUAGUAGACUAGGAUCUCUUUAAAUGUUUGGGGCCAAAUACAAGGAUUUAAGUGGCAAGAUUCAUCUGUUUCCAAUCAGCAUGGCUUAAGACAUCAAUCCAGAGAAUAUAUCAGAACCAUCAAGAAAGCUUUAUGAAGACACAUCAUUCUUCUUGCCCUGUAAAUUCUGACUCAGCAGAAAUCUCAAAAGCGUAUGAUGUGCCAGGCACUGUUACAGGGACAGGAAUAUGGUGAUGAACAAAUAUGAAGAUGCUCAAGAAAGCCCUCUUGCCCAUUUCCCAUGUGAAGUUGAAUAAGAAGAUGGCUGUCUAUGAAGAAGCAGGCUCUCUCCAGCCAUCUAGUCUAUGAUGUCUUGGGGAAACAGCAUGAAAAAACUAAAACUGAAGUAAACUAGAGAAAUGGAGCUUUAGAGAAGUAUACUCAUGAACAAAGCUCUGAAGCUUUAGUCAACCCAACUCUCCAUUUGCCCUCCUGAACACCAAAAAACAAGAUUCCAUCCUGUGAUUCAUGCAGCAACAGCGUUCAAGUGAUGGCAAAAAUGAAAGUCACAGACAAGUCAGUAUGCGGUACACUGGGCUGAACAUACAGAGUUUAGUGUUUCUUUGGAGGAAUUGUGACAAUAACAUUUGUUCCCUCUGCCCUCCUUCCCCUCCAUUUCCUGUAAAAUCUACCUUUUCCUACUCUCACUUGCUCUCAUACAGUUUGUGUAGAACUGGCCUAUCCCUGGCUCAAAAGCAUGACCUAUUCUGGCCAGAGAGAGUGGGUCAUACCUCCCAGCAAUCUCAGGAAGAAUGGGAAACUUGGUAAAUUAGUAAUAGUAUUUUGAACUUUGAUGCAACCAUGAAUAAAUAUUCCAACUUUUUCCUUGACUAUGAGUAUGCUUCUUGUUUUGCUUGAACUAAUUGAAAUUAAAUAUUAUUUUCAACUGGAAGAGUCCCAAUUGAUAUUUAUUCUAAUUUCCUAAAAUUCAGAUCCAGUAGGUCAGCUUAAAAAUUUCUAUGACUCACCAUUUCCUAUAAAGUCCAAAUCUUUACCUAAUUAUGAGUAACAUAUAGGUUUAACUGUAAUGCAGUUAAUAUGUUCUCUCUCACUGGUUUAUUGAUUAUAGUGUUAGCCAAGAGCGGACAAGGUAGAAUAUUUGAUCUAAUUAUCAUUCUUUUAUUAUCCUUAUCAAACAGACCUCGAGAAAGCAACAGACAUGCGCUUAGAACUUACAUGGCUUUUGGCAGAUUUUCUUUCCCCUUUCAUGCAGUUGUUACAGAGGAUUUGGCAUGUACUUUGUUUAUUAUUGUAAAAGCAUAUUAUUGACAGUGUAGAAAUUUUAGAGAAUACACCUAUUUUGUUUGUACUGAGAGAAAUUAUUGUAGAGAAGUGAAUCUUCAUGUUUUUCUUGGAUCAUUAAUGUUCACAUUAUCAGGGAAAUUGUUAGUGAUGCACAUUUUUGAACCCAACUUCAAACCAACUGAAUCAGGAAAUCUUUAGAUGGCACGCAGAAACCUGUAUUUUAACACAAUUAAAAUCAUCCCAUGAUACAUGAAAAAAUAUUUGAACCAUUAUGGGGCCUUGGGGAAACUAUGCCUCAUAUCCUUUUCUCUGACAUAAAUAAAAUGCUCAGUAAAUUUUAGAUAAUGCUAUAGCUGUUGAAGCAACAUUCUGAGAAACAUGCUUACUUGUAAUAGUCAAGCAAGGUUUAUUUUAAAUUAAGAACUUACCUCUAAAGUCACGUAAAGAUUGAAGUCAGAGAAUUGAAUGAGUGAUUAAAUUCAUACUGAAAAAUGAAAACAAUGGAUAGCUCUUAUAAAUCUUAGAGUAGUAACUUAAACCUAGUAUAACUUCAGUUGACAUAUAUAUAUAGAGAGAGAGAGAGAGAGAGAGUUUUAAGUGUAGUUUUGCAUUCACCAAAAUGCAGAAACAUGUACUAACUUUAGUUAAGAUAAUAUUUAAAUCUCUAUUAUUUUUAAACUGCUGUGUUUUCUUUUUACUGAAAGUUAUUUUUCAGUUCUAAGGGCUUAAUUCUUUUCUAGCCCCAAGGACUCAAAUGUUAACUUCAUGUUUAUAAAUAGAUGAGCCUGAGACAUCUCAUGUCUAGUAGCACGUAUUUUUGUUGGUGAAACAUUUUCUAAAAUUUGUAAGUAACUCAAAGUUUUUGCUCUUGAUGUACAGUAGCCCAAAAAAGGUACACCUUCUCUCUACUGUGGCCAUUGCCUUCUAGGAAGUUUAAAGUGUCCCAAGAGUUUUCUGGAUCUCUAUUUGCAUGCUGUUUGGAUGUAUAGGUUCAGAAUUUUGCUGGUUUUCCAUUUCAUACUCUAAUAUCAUAUAGACUGCACUUGCUCCUUUAUAGUUAUACCAUCAUAUAUCUCUAGACUUGAAAAUUCAGUUAUAUGUUGUAUGCAGGACAGUAUUUGCUUAUUAAAAAUAUUAAAUUCCAGGCACUAAUCUAGGCAUUAAGUUCAUAAUGAUUAUAUGAGUCACUGUGACCAUAAUGAUAAUAUCUAUAAACCAUAAUUUUCCUAUUAGGCAGAAACUGAACUUUAUUUUGUUUCUUUUUAUCUUCAUAGAGAUAUGGGAACAUGCAUAGGUGCACAAGAAAAACUUUUGGAUCAUUAAAGUACAUAGUAUAUUUUUGAGAGAUUUUGAGAAGCCUGAUUAGAGAAGGAAACAUGAAAAGUAUAGGCUUAGGAAGUGGAAGAUUAUUUGUGCUGCAGUGUGUUAUAAAAAGAACUUAGUAGAGGUGCUUGGUUUUUAGGUUAAAUAACAGAGAAAAUAAAUGUCACAGCAGUUACAGAUUGACUGAAAUUAUGUUUCAUACAGUGCACUCCUGCUUGACCUUGUAGAGACUUGUGGGAAGCAUCAAAAAGAGCACUGAAAUCAGGCCUGGAGAAACAUGUUUUGAAGCUUGGCUUUACCACUAUUAGCUGUUUGACUUUAGACAAAUUUAAGUUCAUGAAAUUCAUAUAAACUGGCUCCUUAGAUCUAUCAGGAUAUUGCAAACAUCACCAGAACAGGAUAUUUGAAAGAACUUCAAUACAUUUUUCUAAAUGUUCAAUGUUUUUCUAGCAGAAUAGGAUUGAAUUUGGAGGCAGGCACCUUGAGUUGAAAGACAGUGAUGAAAAUGUGAGUUUUUGGAAGAAGGGAAACCAUGUCCUAAAUUAUGAUCUGUAAGGACUGCCAUAAAAUUUUCUUACCAAAAUCUGGAGUGGGUGUAAAUGGUUUCGAGAAUAUGUAUCUUACAAACUGUGUCACUAUGAACAUGAGUGCACAUAUAUCAUAGCGGUGCAGUUUGUAAUAGCUAAAACUUGGAAACAGCCCAAUUGCCCAUCAAUUGGAGACUGGUAAAGAAAAUGUGUUUUUUCUUUUUUAAAUGGAGUAUUACUCAGCCAUAAAGAACAAGAAACUAGAGACAUUUAUAGCUAAAUGGAUGCACAUUGAGGUCAUCUUCUUAAGUGAAAUGAAUAGAACACACAAGUGUAAAUACUGAAUACUUUCUCUGGUGUGAGAAACUGAAAGUGUAAAUAAGAAUCAAAAUGUAUAAUAGAUAAUGUGAAAUAGGAAGCAAAGGUCCAAAGGGGGAGUGGGAGGUGUAGGAAAAAGGAAAAAAGGGAAAGGAAUAAAUUUGAGAAAAAAAAAAGGGAACAAAGUUUGUAAAUAGGGAGGGGUGGAGGGGUUGAACAGAGGGCAGGAGAAUGGAGAAAAAAUAAGAACCAAAAUAUAUUAUGUAAAGGUAGAAAUUCCCAAUAAUGAAUGUCAGCAUAUUGUAUACCUAAAAUGUUCCAAUAAACUUAAUGAAAAAAGUAUAUGUAUCUUGAUCAUCAAAAGUCUCACUAUACACCUAUAAUUUAAACUGUUAUUGUAUGACACAAUUGAGAUAUAUUAAAUUUCUUUUAUUCUCAAAGACAGUACAGAAAACAAAAGGAAGUUUUAUUUCUCAUAAAACUUAUUUUCUCAUACUCUUCAUAAAAAGUAUAGUAUAUUUUCUGAACAGUGAUUUCCUGGGUUAUAGUUACUUGAUAUUUGUUUUUCUAGGCACAAGGAUAUUGUGAUUGGUUCUACAUUUAUGAAAGUAACAAACUAUGAACAUAGUAUAAUACAUUUUGCUUGAGUGGAAGCAGUAGUAUAAAUAUUUCACUAAAAUUAAAACAAGUAUUUUAGGUUGUAUUCUUAUUAGGUUGUUUUCUUAUUUAUAAAUAGACUUGAUUAUUAUUGAAUAUGUUUCUCAUUGGCAUUUUAAAUUUUAUUAUAUUAUAUGGUGAUGCACCAUAUAAAGAUAUUUUGGUCAAUGAUGGUUCACAGUGGUAUAUUCCAUAUGGCAUAGGUGUGUAAUAGACUAUAUCAUUUAGAUUUGUUCUCUCUAUGAUAUUUACACAACAAAAUUAUCUAGAACAUUUUUUCUUAGAAUUUAUCUAUAAUUAAGCAAUGCAUGAUACCAUUUAAUAUCAUAUAUAAUACAUUUUUAUUUUAUUACAUUUUAGAAAACAUAUUAGAUUGAAAAUCAGAAAACAUAGGAGGUGAUCUUUAAUUCACACAAUCUGUGUAUCAUAUCUUUAUCUUCCUUUCACCUCUUUCUCAGUAUAAUUAUGUAUUCUACUGUCUUACCCUCUAACUUAUGCCUAGGUCUUCCUCCAAUGAGUCAUGCAUUCACAAGCAUAUGGAGGGAGACAUUUAGUCUUAUUCUUUGAUAUCUUUAGCACAGGGACUAGAACAUUGUUGAUGCUUCAUAAAUAUCAAGGCAAAUACAUUCAUUUGAAUUGAAUAUUAGCCUUUGAUCAAUUCAAUAAAAAUGGUGCAAAAUUAGUUAAGACUGCCAUCAAAUCUUUUGUAUUUCCUGUCAAAUUAAACAAUAAUUUGAUUCUCAGAGAUUCUUAGUACUUCAUUUACAAACAGAAAUCUGGGAAAUAAUAUGUCUAUUCUUAUAUUCUUCAAAAGAUAUGCUUUUCUUUCAGGGAAUGGAUAUACUAAGAAUAUUCAUAGAAGCUGAAUAUAAGUGACCAAUAUGAUAUAGCCCAAAGGUGUGUGCAAGUUGAAGGGCAGAUAGGAAGAGAUUAUGUCAAGGUAGUAGAUACUGUCUGUGAUAGUUGCUAGCAGAGACAAACACUACCUGAUGCCUUUUCACUAUCCACUUCCCAAGCCAUGCCAAUUAAGUAGAAAUGUGUCCAGCUGAAAACUUGUUUAGUAACCUUUGGUCCAAAUAGAAGUAGGCAUGUGACUCAAUUCUGACCAACAAUAAAAUUGGUGGAGGCUUCCAUGUAAUUUUUAUAGGGGAGAUAAACUUACUGGAAUGGCCUUUUAGUCCUUUUCCCUGCCUCCUGCAUGGAUGCCUGGAGGUGCAAUCAUUGCAAUCAUGAGGAUUAAAACCACAUUUUAUAGUUGGUUUCAGUAAGAGUAGAAAAGAAAUCUGGAUCAUAAGGACAUUCGGCUACAGUACUAAUCCUGAUCUUUCUAUCCAUGGACUUGUUACAUGAGACAAAUAAACCUUUUAUUUAUUUAAUGUACAGUUUGUUGGGCUUUCUCAAAACUAAACACAAUCCUCAUAUAUUUGCCCUUCUGGGAAAAAAGGUAGUACAUGACUUUCAAAAUCUAAUGAGAUUCAUGUAUGACUUAAACCACUCUACUGAAGCAGUUCCAUUUCAGUCCAUGGUGCAAGGCAGUUGCCCUGAAUAACAUAUAGUGUCUAAUAAUUUUGUUUCUUUGUUAGUUUUUCCUGAAGCCUAGGGUCAAAGAGCCCAGAAAAUUGUAAACAUAGAGAUGUAAUCUCUGUGCACAUUGGCUGAUAAAUGCUAUUAUGAUUUGUAUGCCUAGAUUUGGUAAAGAACGAAUAUUCAACAUCUCUACAUAAUAUUGCUUUAAUUAAAUUCUUUUCUCUCUGGCUGUCAUACAUGCCACACAGGCGCAAUCAACGAACAUUGACAAUUUGCUUAAAUCUUACUCUUUGUCCUAUUUGUAUAAUUUAUUGUGUCAGUGUUCCUCAAGUGGUGUGCUCCUGCAACUCAUCAUCUAGAAAUCCUUCCCAGAUGUGCUGAAAUUUUUCAUUAAUUUGUACAAGUAUUGUUUUGUAAUUAAAUACACACGCUUUUGACUGGAAGAGAAAACACCUCUCUUUAAUCCCAGAGAAUUAUUUGGCCUUGAGAAAAAUUGAUUCAUGCCCUUCCCACUUCAUCCUCCUUAUUCAGAUAGAUAUUCCUGAAGCAUUCGCUGCUUUAUAAAUUUACUUGGUCCAAAGAUGAAAAAGAAAAAUCCAUUACUUUAAAGAUUUCUGCAGGAUCUACCUAUAACUCACUUUUUAGUUUCCAAUUAAGAAUAACAUAACUCUAGAGUAGGCUUCAACCCUAAUUUUCCAAACUGGAAUACAAUUUCAAAGCAGGAAGUGACAAUCUCUGUAGUGGUACUUGUCCACAGAGGUGAUAUUUCUGGUUAUUGAAUUUCAAGACUAGAAACUAAGCUUACUAUCUUUUAGCUUGGUAACUGUAAAGAGAGGGUGAGGACUGCUCUGUAUAUUAAUAAAGACUAUCAUAAGCAGCUGAAGAAAUUGGCUUAGCUCUACUUCUUAGUGUCCAUGUUUGUUUGUUUGUUUUUUGGUAUGAAGCAUGGAAUAUAAAACUAAUACUGCAUUUACUACAUUCAUUUGCAGCUAGGUUCCUGAGUGACAUUAGGUUUGGCUGGUUUGAUAACCAGGGUCACAUUUAGAAGGGAAAUGUGAGGCAAAUACCACAUGGUUGACUGAUUCUAUUUAUUUCUAAUGACCUUUACUAGGCACACUUUGUAUAGAAAAUAAUGAGCAUAUUUUAAGUAUAUAGUUUAAUGAGUUCUGACUAAUUUAUUGAUCUAUUUAACCAAUAUCAAUAUCAAUGUGUAUAUUAAUUUCCUUACUCCAUAAUAAAACUUUGUGCUCCUUUCCAGACAACCCCCAAAUCCUGGACCCAGACAACUAUUGAUCUGCUUUGUAUUGCCAUAGAUCAUAUUUUCUUUUCUGAGAGAUUCAAUAAACAGAUUCUUAUAUUAAAUCAUCUUAACUCUGGCUUAUUCCCAUCACCAUGAUAUUUUGAAAUAUAUCAAUACUGUUUGUAUAGUAAGCAAAGAUUUAAGAUGGGCUCAAAAAAUCUUCACUCCUGGUAUAUGUACCUUUUACCUCUUAUCCAACCAAAGUUAAUUUAAAUGAUACUAUGAAAGGAUUUUCAAGGUAUAAUUAAAGUCCUUAAUAAGUUUGCUUUAAGUUAUGUGGAUUUUCCUAGGUGAGCCAGACCUAAGUAGGUGAGCCAUUAGAAAAAUUAGAGCUAUUCAAAGAACAGGAGAAAUUUUGUCACCGACUUUAAAAAGAUAACUUCCAUUUUGUGAUGAAGUCCAUAUGUCAAGUAGGCCUAGGCAGCUUCUAGGAGCUGAGAAUCACCCUAGUUUCAUGGCCAGCUAGCAACCUUCCCUAUAACCUCAGACCUAUAAACAUAAGAAACUGAAUUCUGUUAAAAACCAGUUAGAAAAACCUUGAGCUUUAAUUGAAAUUGAGGCUCUGACCAAUACCUUGAAUUUAACCUGAUGAGGCCUGAAGAGAGAACUCAAUUAUGUUCUUCCAGGUUUCUAUCCUACAGAACCAUGAUUUAAUAAAUGGACAAUAAUUGAAACUUAAUUGCUAACAAGUUGCUAUAAACUCUAGGAAUGUAGUUAAAUAAUUGACAUCCCUCAGCAACUGAGUAUUUUAUUUAUUAAAAAAUAAAUUACUAUAUGGGAGAGAUUACACAAGGCUGUGAAUACCAGGAAGGUGUGAUAUCUAGGGUUUGAUUUUAAAAGCUGUGUAAUUUUGUAGUGAUUUGUUAGGCACCAAUGCAAAAUGAAUAUACUGAAUGUCA